CAAUAGCGUAUAUUAAAGUUGUUGCAGUUAAAAAGCUCGUAGUUGGAUUUCUGGCUGGAGCGAUCGGUCCGCCCCGCAAGGGGUGUGUACUAGCGUCGUCUCCGACCAUCCUUGUGGGAACUGUGCGGCCGUUAACUCGGUUGUAUAUGGGAACACAUCGUUUACUGUGAAAAAAUUAGAGUGUUUAAAGCAGGCUUAAGCCGUUGAAUACAUUAGCAUGGAAUAAUAAGAUAAGACUUGGGUCAUUAUUUUGUUGGUUUGCGGAUCGAGGUAAUGAUUAAUAGGGAUAGUUGGGGGUAUUCAUAUUUAAUUGUCAGAGGUGAAAUUCUUGGAUUUGUUAAAGAACGGACUACUAGUCGGAAAGAACAUUUGUUCCAAAGGGAUGUUUUUCAUUUAGAUACAAAGAAACGUAAA
rnacentral:rRNA from 1 species